UACAGAGGUCUCAACCGUUGUUCGGAUUCAUUGGGCGUAAAGGGUGCGUAGGCGGUCGCGCAAGUCGGAUGUGAAAUCUCAGGGCUCAACCCUGAAACUGCAUUCGAUACUGCGUGGCUAGAGUGCUGGAGAGGAGACUGGAAUUUACGGUGUAGCAGUGAAAUGCGUAGAGAUCGUAAGGAAGACCAGUGGCGAAGGCGAGUUUCUGGACGGUAACUGACGCUGAGGCACGAAGGCCAGGGGAGCAAACGGG
rnacentral:rRNA from 1 species